rnacentral:rRNA from 1 species
GACGAACGCUGGCGGCGUGCUUAACACAUGCAAGUCGAACGGAAAGGCCCUGCUUUUGUGGGGUGCUCGAGUGGCGAACGGGUGAGUAACACGUGAGUAACCUGCCCUUGACUUUGGGAUAACUUCAGGAAACUGGGGCUAAUACCGGAUAGGAGCUCCUGCUGCAUGGUGGGGGUUGGAAAGUUUCGGCGGUUGGGGAUGGACUCGCGGCUUAUCAGCUUGUUGGUGGGGUAGUGGCUUACCAAGGCUUGACGGGUAGCCGGCCUGAGAGGGUGACCGGCCACAUUGGGACUGAGAUACGGCCCAGACUCCUACGGGAGGCAGCAGUGGGGAAUAUUGCACAAUGGGCGGAAGCCUGAUGCAGCAACUCCGCGUGCGGGAUGACGGCCUUCGGGUUGUAAACCGCUUUCGCCUGUGACGAAGCGUGAGUGACGGUAAUGGGUAAAGAAGCACCGGCUAACUACGUG